rnacentral:rRNA from 1 species
AGAAUGAACGCUAGCGAUAUGCUUAACACAUGCAAGUUGAACGUUGUUUUCGAAUCAGAAUGAGAACAAAGUAGCGAACGGGUGCGUAACACGUGGGAAUCUGCCGAACAGUUUGGGCCAAAUCCCGAAUGAAUAAAAGCUAAAAAGCGCUGUUUGAUGAGCCCACGUAGUAUUAGGUAGUUGGUUAGGUAAAAGCUGACCAAGCCUACGAUGCUUAGCUGGUCUUUUCGGAUGAUCAGCCACACUGGGACUGAGACACGGCCCAGACUCCUACGGGAGGCAGCAGUGGGGAAUCUUGGACAAUGGGCGAAAGCCUGAUCCGGCAAUGCCGCGUGGAUGAAGAAGGUUUUCGGAUUGUAAAGUCCUUUCGGCGGGGACGAUGAUGACGGUACCCGCAGAAGAAGCCCCGGCUAACUUCGCGCCAGCAGCCGC